UUUCCGUAGGUGAACCUGCGGAAGGAUCAUUACCGAGUGAGGGUCUCUCAAGCCCGACCUCCCACCCUGUGUUUUUGUCACCUUCGUGCUUUGUCGGGUCCGCCUCGCUGAGACGCCGCCGGAAGCUCACCGCUUUCGCCCCGUGCCCUCCAGUAGCCCCCUUAAAUCUUUAAUAACCCUCUCGCCCGAGUCUAUAGAAACUAAAAAAAACUUUCAACAACGGAUCUCUUAAUCCCGGCCUCGUUAAAGAACGCAGCAGUACGGAAUAGCACAAGUCUG
rnacentral:misc_RNA from 1 species